CGCCUGGGGAGUACGGCCGCAAGGUUAAAACUCAAAUGAAUUGACGGGGGCCCGCACAAGCGGUGGAGCAUGUGGUUUAAUUCGACGCAACGCGAAGAACCUUACCUGGCCUUGACAUGCAGAGAACUUUCCAGAGAUGGAUUGGUGCCUUCGGGAACUCUGACACAGGUGCUGCAUGGCCGUCGUCAGCUCGUGUCGUGAGAUGUUGGGUUAAGUCCCGUAACGAGCGCAACCCCUAUCCCUAGUUGCUAGCAGUUCGGCUGAGAACUCUGGGGAGACUGCUGGUGACAAACCGGAGGAAGGUGGGGAUGACGUCAGGUCAUCAUGGCCCUUACGGCCAGGGCUACACACGUGCUACAAUGGCGCGCACAGAGGGCUGCAAACCCGCGAGGGGGAGCCAAUCUCACAAAACGCGUCGUAGUCCGGAUCGCAGUCUGCAACUCGACUGCGUGAAGUCGGAAUCGCUAGUAAUCGUGAAUCAGAAUGUCACGGUGAAUACGUUCCCGGGCCUUGUACACACCGCCCGUCACACCAUGGGAGUGGAUUGCACCAGAAGUGGUUAGUCUAACCUUCGGGAGGACGAUCACCACGGUGUGGUUCAUGACUGGGGUGAAGUCGUAACAAGGUAACCGUA
rnacentral:rRNA from 1 species